rnacentral:rRNA from 1 species
AACGAACGCUGGCGGCGUGUUUAAGACAUGCAAGUCGCACGGUGUCAUUUUGGUAGCAAUACUUGAAUGGCAUAGUGGCGCACGGGUGAGUAACACGUGAAUUACAUGCCCUGUAGAGGGGGAUAGCCCAGGGAAACUUGGAUUAAUACCCCAUGGUCUCGCAAGAGUAAAGGUGGCCGCAAGGCUGUCGCUACAGGAUUGGUUCGCGCCCUAUCAGCUUGUUGGCGGGGUAACGGCCCACCAAGGCUACGACGGGUACCUGGUCUGAGAGGACGAUCAGGCACACUGGAACUGAGACACGGUCCAGACACCUACGGGUGGCAGCAGUCGAGAAUAAUUCACAAUGGGGGCAACCCUGAUGGUGCAACGCCGCGUGGAGGAUGACGGUCUUCGGAUUGUAAACUCCUGUCAUCCGGGAGUAAGACCUGGGCAUGAAUAGUGCACAGGGUUGAUAGUACCGGAAGAGGAAGGGACGGCUAACUUCGUGCCAGCCGCCGCGGUAAAAC